rnacentral:tRNA from 1 species
CAGAAAAUAGUUUAAUAAAAAUGUUAAUUUUGGAGAUUAGAGAUAGGGGUGGAUGCUUUUUCUGA